rnacentral:rRNA from 1 species
GACAGAGGUGCCAAGCGUUAGGCGGAAUCACUGGGCUUAAAGCGUGUGUAGGCGGGCGAUCAAGUACCUUAUGAAAUCCCACGGCUCAACCGUGGAACUGCUGGGUAUACUGGUUGUCUUGAGCCAGCUAGGGGCGAGCGGGACAGACGGUGGAGCGGUGAAAUGCGUAGAUAUCGGGAGGAACACCUGUGGCGAAAGCGGCUCACUGGACCACAACUGACGCUGAGGCGCGAAAGCUAGGGGAGCAAACAGG